rnacentral:tRNA from 1 species
AUUUGAAUAAUUUAUAAUAAAAUAUUGAUUUGUGGUAUCAAAAAAGUGAGAGAUUCAUUUCAAAUU